CAAGUUACGACUAUGUUCUUA
rnacentral:misc_RNA from 1 species